rfam:Mus musculus chromosome 13, GRC primary reference assembly.
ACUGGGAUGGCUGAGUGGUUAAGGCGUUGGACUUAAGAUCCAAUGGGCGGUUGCCUGCGUGGGUUCGAACCCCACUCCCAGUA